rnacentral:tRNA from 1 species
AUCCCUGUAGCGGAAUGGAUAGCGUGUUGGAUCUCUAAUCCAAGGUCGUGGGUUUGAAUCCCACCUGGGAUG